GACGAACGCUGGCGGCGUGCUUAACACAUGCAAGUCGAACGGUAAGGCCCUUCGGGGUACACGAGUGGCGAACGGGUGAGUAACACGUGGGUGAUCUGCCCUGCACUUCGGGAUAAGCCUGGGAAACUGGGUCUAAUACCGGAUAGGACCACUGCCUGCAUGGGUGGUGGUGGAAAGCUUUUGCGGUGUGGGAUGGGCCCGCGGCCGAUCAGCUUGUUGGUGGGGGGAUGGCCUACCAAGGCGACGACGGGUAGCCGGCCUGAGAGGGUGACCGGCCACACUGGGACUGAGAUACGGCCCAGACGCCUACGGGAGGCAGCAGUGGGGAAGAUUGCACAAUGGGCGCAAGCCUGAUGCAGCGACGCCGCGUGAGGGAUGACGGCCUUCGGGUUGUAAACCUCUUUCAGCACCGACGAAGCGCAAGUGACGGUAGGUGCAGAAGAAGGACCGGCCAACUACGUGCCAGCCGCCGCGGUAA
rnacentral:rRNA from 1 species